rnacentral:tRNA from 1 species
AGGCGCGUAGCUCAGGGGGAGAGCACUUGCUUGACAUGCAAGGGGUCGGCGGUUCGAAACCGCCCGCGCCUACCA